rnacentral:tRNA from 1 species
GGUUGUGGCGCAGUGAAAGAGUGCUCACCUAGCAUGCACGAGGCACUGGGUUCGAUCCCCAGCACCA